UAUGAUGAACAUUCCAAUCGAAUCACAAUUCAUUUCUCGAUAAGUCACACUUCGAAACACUUCCUAUAAAUGAAUAUACACAAGAAAUUCUGGAAUAAAGAUAAAAAAUUUGCUUAAAAAAUGCAAUUGCGGAACCGUGAUGUCCCCCUAGUUAUAGGAAAAGUAUACACAUACAACAAUCCUAACUACAGGAAUAUCCAAUUAGGAUAUAUUAAUAAAAAACGUAAAACUCGUCGGAAUAAGGCUGGACUAAAAAAUACUUCUGCUCAGAUUGCGGCCGAUGUGCGGGAUCGUGCCGGCUUAGUUAAAUAUCACUAUUGGAAUUGAUCCGGCAUAUUGAACCGAUUUAUUGUUUUUAAAAUUUAAAUAUGCUUAACAAAUGCUGCCCCAGAAGGAAUGAGAUCGCCAAAGCGAACGCAAAAAAACGGUCUUCGAGAACUUGAAUUGGAAAACUGUCAACCACGUUUUGAAUUACUUCUUCAGCAGCAAGCCCCUGUUUUUACCUUAAGAUUUCUAGUACAAGACUUAUUAAACGGGUUGUUCCCUUUGGCGAUGGGUUUAUGAUUAGUAGCUGAAUGAUUUGUCUAUUGUUGAUUUGUAAAAGCAAAGUCAUCGAAGAAACUAUAAC